CGACGCGGGAGCUGCACGCGCCGGACGAGGCUCUCUGAGCUCCCUGUCGCCGAGCGCGGGCCAUCUGAGGCGGCUCCCUCGGUUCCUUGGCCGGACACGGUCCAAGCAGACGCAUCUGCGAGCCCAGAGCGGCGGCAGCGGCGGCGGCGGAAAAAAUGAAGAAUGAAAUUGCUGCUGUUGUCUUCUUUUUCACAAGGCUGGUUCGAAAACAUGACAAGUUGAAAAAAGAGGCAGUUGAGAGGUUUGCUGAAAAACUGACUCUGAUACUUCAAGAAAAGUACAAAAAUCACUGGUAUCCAGAGAAACCAUCAAAAGGACAGGCCUACAGAUGCAUUCGUGUCAAUAAGUUUCAGAGAGUUGAUCCUGAUGUCCUGAAAGCCUGUGAAAACAGCUGCAUCUUGUACAGUGACCUGGGCUUGCCAAAGGAGCUCACUCUCUGGGUGGACCCAUGUGAGGUGUGCUGUCGGUAUGGAGAGAAAAACAAUGCUUUCAUUGUUGCCAGCUUUGAAAAUGAGGAUGAAAAUAAGGAUGAGAUCUCCAAGAAAGUUACCAGGGCCCUUGAUAAGGUUACCUCUGAUUAUCAUUCAGGAUCUUCUUCAUCAGAUGAAGAAACAAGUAAGGAAGUGGAAGUGAAACCCAAUUCGAUGACUGCAACUCCAAGCCCUGUUUACCAGAUUUCAGAACUAAUAUUCCCACCUCUUCCAAUGUGGCACCCUUUACCCAGAAAAAAGCCAGGAAUGUACCGAGGGAAUGGUCACCAGAAUCACUACCCUCCUCCUGUUCCAUUUGGUUAUCCAAAUCAGGGAAGAAAGAAUAAACCAUAUCGCCCGAUUCCAGUGACAUGGGUACCUCCUCCUGGAAUGCAUUGUGACCGGAAUCAUUGGAUUAAUCCUCACAUAUACUACCUGUUGAAGAUUCUACCUAUAUUUACUAUCUUCAUCUUAUUCUAAAAUUUGAAGCAGAAGGAACUCAACAAACUAGGUAUUUCCUGAAAAGGAGGCUAACAACUUGAUAGCAGUUUUAUUUACUUGAACUGCAUCAAUACAUGUUUCCAAUCCAUUCCUAAUGAAGUGAUAUCAGUACCCUCUCAGCAGCUGGGUCUUAAAUUCCAAGUGCGUAACUGCAAACCUCUAAAUUUUAGAGGUUGAACUUGGACAUGGAUGUUCGAAAAAUACAAAUUCUUUUGGUAAGUGUGCUUACAUCAAUAUUAAAGUGCUUAAUGUUGGUUUUUUUUUUAAUUCCACUAUUUAUCUCGAAGUAUUUAUCUUUUCAGUAAACUGAUUUAAAGUUAAGAAAAUAUGUUGACUUAUACUUAAUUACUAGGCAUGUGUUAAUUCCAUAGUUGGUGAUUGGUAGGAAUUUUCCUCUUAAUAAAAUAAAAUAGAUACAUUUUACCUUGCAAGUAACCAUUCUGUACAUUUUACAGAUAAUAUUAAAUAAUAAAUUCUUUUUAUUUCUAUGUACCAAAAUAUUUAAUCUCACAAUAUCCCUAGAGGUCGGUCCCGUUACUAUCCCAGUAUGGAUCAGGUUUCAGAGAAGUUAAAAAUGCACAAGAUCAGAAAAAGUGAAAUAAUGAAGCCCUGACUUUAAAACAAGCUAUAUGUUUUUAAAGCCCAUGUUCCAUCAUGUCUCCACAAUCAGGUUACAUAUGAAAUCUACUAACUCCUGAGAUUUGUGAGAACAGUCAUCACUAGACCAAGUUGUAGAAAUAAAACCUCAAAGAUUCUAUUGAGUGAAUGAGAAUGCAAGACAUUAAAUUAUAUUGAUCAGCCACUAAUCCUUGACAGAGCUCCUUGUUACAGACUAGUUAUUUCUAAAAAGGAGGCUGACAACUAUAUACCAUUUUCAUUUACUUGAACUGUAAAUCAUGAAAAAGCACACUACUGACAGGGUAAAGAUCAUAAAUAGAUGAUUAGUAACAGUGGUUUUUCUCAAUCAUUAAAUAUUUGGUGAUUUUAACAUAGUAUACAGUCAGUGUACCCUCUUGGUGCAAGUUUUCUGCAUAUACUCUGGAUUUUGUAUUCCCUUGGGUGAAGCAGCAACACUGUCAGCCUCUUUAGAGAAACAAGAAUAUCCCUGUAUUACAGAUGAUGUUUUAUGGCAUUCCUUCAUACUGGAACGUUGUUAUAUAGGUACUAAUUAUAGGGAAGAUUCAUGAAGUUUCUUUUUAAAAUAUGUAUAGUUUAUUCAUUGCAGAAAUUAUCACCUGCCUUCCAAUUUAAUAGCAUUAGGCCAUCUCAGGUUCCCUUGUUCUUCCUUCACAUGUAACUUUUUUUUUUAAAUGUUGAUUUAUUUAAAAAGGAGGGACAGAAAGGAAGAGAGAGAGCUCUUCCAUCCAUGUUUCACUUCCCAAAUGGCUGCAACUUCCAAGGCUGGGUCAAGCUGGAGCCAGGAGUCAGAAACUCCAUACAUAUCUCACUUGAGUGGCAUGGAGCUCAUGUACUUGGGCCUUCUUCUGCUACCUUUCCAGGUGCAUUAGCAGGAAGCUGGGUGGAAAACAGAGCAGCCAGGACUCAAACUGACACUCUGAUACAGGAUACCAUGUCACAAGUGGUGGUUUAACGUGCUGCUCUGUAACACAGGCUCCUAUAUCUUAAGGAUAAAAUAAAAACUAAAAUGGAAACAUAUUUAACACUUACGGAAAUAAAAUUCACCGUAGGACUUGUAGCAGAUACAUCACUUCAACUGAUGUUUGAUGUUUCAUAAAGUAUAUGAACCAUAUAAAUAAAAGUGUUAUGUUUUACUGUUUUGGGGCCAGCACUGAGGUGUAGUGCUUAAAGCCAGUGUUGCAGGUGGCGGCUGGCCAUCCGAUAUGAGAUACUGGUUCAAGUCCUGGCUGUUCCACUUCAGAUCCACCUCCCUCCUAGUGUGCCUGGGAAAGUGGCAGAAAAUGGCCUUAGUGCUUGGGUCACUGCACCCAUAUGAGAGACCCAGAAGGAGCUCCUGGCUUCGGUUUGACCCAGCUCUGGCCAUUUCAGCCAUUUGGGGAGUGAACCCACAUGGAGAAUCUCUCUGUCUGUAAAUGAACCUUCAAAUAAAUAAGUAAAAUUUUUAUUGUUUUAAUUUUACUGUUUUCACCUCACAAAAGGAAAAGCAAGCUACAGAAAAGACUUCAUAAAAGCUACAAACAUAAUCAUGGGACACUUUUGCUUAAGUUGCAUAGGACUUGAAAAUGCCAACUGUUAAGAUUUUGACAGUCAUAGUGUGGCUAUAAAGUCUACCAUUUAGGGGCUGGCAUUGUGGUGCAUGGGUUAAGCUACCACCUGUGACAACCGGCAUCCCAUGUGAGCACCCCAUUCAAGUCCCAGCUGCUCUGUUUCUGAUCAGCUACCUGCUAAUAUACCUGGGAAGGCAGUAGCUGAUGGCCCAAGUGCUUGAGUCCCUGCCACCGACAUGGGAAACCCAGAUAGAGUUCCAGGCUCAUGGCUUCGCCCUGGCCCAGGCCUUGCAACUGGUGGACAUUGCAGGAGUAAACCAGUGGAUAGAAGAUACUCUUCUUUCUGUGUCUCCCUUUUUUAACUUUGCCUUUCAAAUAAAUAAAUAUUUUUCAAAAAGCCUACCAUUUAUGUGUAUACAUAACAAAUUUUAAAAUGUGAAAUUUAUGUUAUAAAUCUAUAUGGAAUAUGGGUGAAAAGCAUUUGUAUCCAAAAUGGAAAUUUAAUUGAGUAGUUAUGUCCAUAAUUUUGGUUUCGUGAACUUCACUAGUGGUAAAAUAUAAAUUAAAAUAGAUAUAUUUUGGCAGUCAUAAGAUUAAUGCUCAUUAUUGAUAGGGUAUGUGGGAAAGGAGUAUCAUAGUAUUAGCAGAGAUUUAAAGUGAUAUAAAGCAGCUGUACAUUUUUUAAGUAUGUAUCCUUUCACCAAACAAUAGUACUUACAGAAAUUUACCUACGGAAGUAUUCAAACAAGGGGACUGGUAUCUACUUAAAAGUGUUCACUGCAAAAUUGUUAUGGAUGGCAAAAAUAACAAAAAUACAAGUAAGCACCAAAAGAUGAACACUUAAAUGUCUAUUCAAAAUAGUAGAAAAUACCAUGUAGCCAUGUAAAACUUUUUUUAAAAAGUAGAUGACUUUGUAAUGACCUAGAACAAAAUACUCUGAGUAAGGAAAAAUAUUGUGUCUAGGAUGAUGCUAAUAUUCUCGCUCCUCUUCCAGUCCAGCUCUCUGCUAUGGCCUGGGAAGGCAGUGGAGGAUGGCCUGAGUGCCUGGGCCCUGCACCCGCAUGGGAGACCAGGAGGAAGCACCUGGCUCUUGGAUUUGGAUCAGCGCAGCUUGCCAGCCGCAGCGACCAUCUAGGGGGUGAACCAAUGGAAGGAAGACCUUUCUCUGUCUCUCACUGUCUAACUCUGCCUGUCAAAAAAAAUAUAUUGUCUGAAGAAAGAAAUAUCAAAUAGUAGCGUUUGCAGAGGUGGUGGUGGAGGGGAGCAAAUAGAGAAUUUUAUUUUUCUACUUUGUACAUUUCAAUAUUUAGACUUUUAUAUCAAAUAUUACUUUAUAACUGGAGUGGUAAAAAGACCAACUUUUUUUUUUUUUUUUUUUGACAGGCAGAGUGGACAGAGAGAGAGACAGAAAGAAAGGUCUUCCUUUGCCGUUGGUUCACCCUCCAAUGGCCGCCGCGGCCGGCGCGCUGCGGCCUGCGCACCGCGCUGAUCCGAUGGCAGGAGCCAGGCGCUUCUCCUGGUCUCCCAUGGGGUGCAGGGCCCAAGCACUUGGGCCAUCCUCCACUGCACUCCCUGGCCACAGCAGAGAGCUGGCCUGGAAGAGGGGCAACUGGGACUAGAACCCGGUGUGCCGGCGCCACAAGGCGGAGGAUUAGCCUAGUGAGCCACGGCACCAGCAAAAGACCAACUUUUUAAAAGCACUUUAUUUAAGACAAGUUCAGUGGACUUAUUUUUAGCUAAUGCAAAUACUGUGUAAAAUUUGUGAUCAAACUGCACAUAUGCUUUAUUGGCAAUCAUACUUCUGAAUAAAGAAUGGUUAUAAAGUUUUAUGUUUGUGAGCAUGCUGUAUCUAGUAGUAAAUAAUUAUAAAAUAAUAAGGCUGGCGCCGCGGCUCACUAGGCUAAUCCUCCGCCUGCAGCGCCAGCACCCCGGGUUGUAGUCCCGGUAGGGGCGCCUGAUUCUGUCCCAGUUGCUUCUCUUCCAGUCCAGCUCUCUGCUGUGGCCCGGGGGUGCAGUGGAGGAUGGCCCAGGUCCUUGGGCCCUGCACCUGCAUGGGAGACCAGGAGGAAGCACCUGGCUCCUGGCUUCAGAUCGGCACAGCACACCGGCCGCGAUGCGCUGGCCAUAGCGGCCACUUGGGGGAAGUAAAAAAACUGAAUCAAAGUGUGUGAAUCCUAAGAUUCAUUUAUCUAUCUAUUUGAAAGGGUGAGAGAGAGGAAGAUACAGAUCUUCCAUCCUAUGGUUCACUUCCCAAAUAGCCACAACAGCCAGGGCUGGAUCAUGCUGAAGCCAGGAACUCUAUCUUGGUCUCCCACUUGGGUGUCAGGGACCCAAGUACUGGGCCAUCUUCUGCUGCUUUCCCAGGUGCAUUAACAGGGAGCUGGAUCUGAAGCAGAAGAGCCCAGACUAAAACUGGCAGUUCUGUAAGGAUGCCAGCAUCACAAAGCAGUGGAUUAACCCACUGCACCACAAUGCCAGUCCCAAGAAUCCAUAUUUCUAAGUGGACUCAAGAACAUCCACAAAUUUAUAUAUCAAGUCAAUCUAAAUCAAUUAAAAUCCAAGUGAGAUUUUAUGGGUCUUGGAAAUGUGAUGUUAAGUUUACAUGGAAGAAUAAUCCUCAAGAAUAACUGAAGAAUUAAAAAAAAAAAUAACAAUAGGGCAGGCAUUUGAUAUAGCAGUUGAAAAGCCUCAUAGGGCACCCACAUUCCAUAUCAGAGUUCCUGGAUUUGAGUCUCAGCCUCUUACUGAUUCUAGCUUUCUGCUAAUGCAUACCCUGGCAGGCACCAGGUGAAAGCUCAAGUACUUGGGUUUCUGCCACCCCAGUGGGAGACCGAGAUGGAGUUCUGGGCUCCUGGCUUUACCGUGGCCCAGCCCUAGCUAUUGCAGGCAUCUGGGCAGUGAAUCAAUACAUGGAAGAUGUUUCUGUCUGUCUUGGCUUUUCAGAUAAGAUAAAAAUAAAUAUUUAAAAAGAAAAAUAAAUUAAUAGUGGAGGCCAGUGUUAUGGCACAACAGGAUAAACCGCUGCCUGUAACAUUGGUAUCCCAUGUAAGCAUCAGUUCAAGUCCCAGCUGCUCCACUUAGAUCUGGUUCUCUGCUGCUGCACCUGGGAAAAGUGCUGCUGACACCCACUUGGAAGAACUGGAUAGAGUUCUAGGCUCCUAGCUUCAGCUUGUUCCAGCUCUGUUAGAGCUAUUCGGAAGUGAACCAAUGGAUGGAAGAUCUCUUUCCCUUUCUCUCUCUCAAACUCUGCCUUUCAAAGAGAUAAAAUGAAUCUUAAAAAAAAAAAAAAAUACUGAGGUUGCAUUCCUGAAAGCAAGAUGGGUCACCAGGAGCUCUGCUGGAGUCACUGCAGAAAUUCAGCCAGGGUUCCUGCUCUUGCCAGCCCUGCUCAAACUGGCACAGUCUGAUCCAGAAAUACCGGCUUAACAUGUGCUGCCAGUGUUUCCGUCAAUACGCAAAGGAUAUUGACUUCAUUAAGUUGGAUUAAGUCAUUUACCUUGAAUGGAUUCUCUAAGACAUCAGCGCUAUGGAAAGUCAUGCUAGCUCUUUGUACAUAAAAUAAAGAACUUCAAUUUAUUAAAAAAAAAAGUGAGCUAUUCUUAUUUCAAACCAUAAAUGUAAAUUCCAGGUAUAUUAAAUAAUAUAAAUUCUGUAGCUGGCGCCGCGGCUCACUAGGCUAAUCCUCCGCCUUGCGGCGCCGGCACACCGGGUUCUAGUCCCAGUCGGGGCGCCAGAUUCUGUCCCAGUUGCCCCUCUUCCAGGCCAGCUCUCUGCUGUGGCCAGGGAGUGCAGUGGAGGAUGGCCCAAGUGCUUGGGCCCUGCACCCCAUGGGAGACCAGGAGAAGCGCCUGGCUCCUGCCAUCGGAUCAGGUGCACCGGCUGCAGCGCGGCGGCCAUUGGAGGGUGAACCAACGGCAAAGGAAGACCUUUCUGUCUCUCUCACUGUCCACUCUGCCUGUCAAAAAAAAAAAAAAAUAUAUAUAUAUAUAUAUAAAUUCUGAAACUAGAAGUACUGCAAUAUGGAAGAAGACAGUUUAUAUACUAAGUAGAACCAAAUUAAUAAGGUAAUAAGGAAAUACAAAUUAAUAAAAACAAAAGUUGUGCUGAGACACGCAUUGGGGUACAACUCACUGCUUGGGAUACAGAUCCCAUACUGGAGUGCCUAUUUCUAGUCCUGGCCACUCUGCUUCUAAUCCCAUUUUGUGCUAAUGUGCCUGGCAGUCAGCAUUCAAAGUAGUGCUUGGGUUCUUGGCACCCAAAUGGAAGACCCAGAUGGAUUUCCUAGCUUCUGGCUUUAGCCAGGUGCGGCCCUGGUGGUAGCAGGCAUUUGGGAGUGAACCAGCAGAUGGAAGAUCUCUGUGUGUAGGUCUCCCUCCCUCUCUGUCACUCUGCCUUUCAAGGAAAUAAAUCUUUUUUAAAAAAAAGUGUGCUUAGUGGCACACAACAUAGAAAAGAUUGGUUCACCUUUUGAAUGUGACAAUGCCCACCCCUGAUUUUUUUUUAAUCUGUAAAACUUUUCUUACCCAGUAAUUCAAAUUCUUGAGUUAAGCUCCUAUUGAAAUACUCUUAUAAAUUUUUUAAAAAGAUACAUAAGAAUGCAUAUUUUAGCAUUAUUUGUAGUAGUGAAGUAUUACAGUUCAUAACUGUGUACUAGGAUGAAACCGUCAAAAUGGUACAUUCCUAUUGACAUGUGAAGAUGACAUGUGAAGAUGUCCACAGUAUUUUAUGUGAGGGGUAAAAACAGAUAUAAAAAGUGAAUCUAAUAGUUCAACUUACUAGGUGUAUCCUAGCAUGAAAUGAGUGUUAAUGUAAAAAACUCCAGUACUUGGCAAGUAUCAAAUGCUCAAUAGCUCAUAUGUACAUAUACAUGUAUAAAGCAUUUUACCUAGCAAAAAUGGAAAUUAAGUAUUUUAAGAGAAACCUGGAAAUCUAUUCUCUUCAUUUACAGAUGUGUAAACUUAGUGUUCAUGUAAAUUGCCCCAUGUGGGCUAACUGGUAGCAUUUCAAACCCAGCAAUGUGACUCCUAAACUGUUAAUUAUAUGUGAGCAUUAUUUUCUGCUGCUUAGGAAACAAUAAGAUAGUAUCUUGGUAUUCUCUUGGUUUAGAUUAGGUUUCAGUGAAAAAAAUUGUCACCUAUAAAAAUUUACCACAAGAGGGCAUCAUGUAUUCUUUUACAAAUUCAAAGCCAAAGAUCGUAUUUGCGAAUAAUCUCCAUUCCACAUGAAAAAUAUCAAUGGUCAUAAUUUAUAGCACUGUUUUUCCCACAGAUCUACAUGGAUAAAUUGCCAUUGGUAAUGGGGAAUUUUAAUCAAGUAUGCCAUAGUCAGGAUUACAGAAAAAACCUUUAUUAUAAUUUUCAUGUUGGUAAAAAUAAUAAAGUUUGUUUUGGACAAAAACACAAAAGCACAAAGAUAAUCAAAAUUACCUAUUACUCUUCUAGCAUAGAUAGUAGCCACCAUUAAUAUUAAUGGAUGAGGAGCUUUUACUUAAAACUUUGGAUAAUAUUGUAUUAUGUAAAAUAUAUACAUUUUAUGGCUACGCAGUUUGAAAACAUGAAACAUUUUCUGAUUUUUUUUCUAAAAACUCAGUUUGAAUAGUUUUAUGAUAUUCAUGUAUAUGUGCUUUAAUUGAUUUAACCAGUCUGUCAUUAAAUAUUAACUUACAGAUCUGGAAAUGUCUUCUUAAUCAUAUCAUAUACUAUGGUAGUUCUGGUAGGGACUAUAGUACAGAAAUAGAUGCACAAGUUAAUCUCAUAACAGAAGCUUUUUAAACUUGUGUGGAAAAUAUAUAGAGAAUAAAUAUUUGAGUCAAAUUAACAAGUAAACUGGUAACAUAUAGCAGAAAGACAGCUAGUGUCAUCGACUUUCACCAAACUCAAUGGGGAAAAAACGUUUUUGCAUAUUACAGACCAUCCAUCAAACAUUUCUUCUAGAGAAGUAGUAGAUAAAAUGCAGUGAUUGAAGAAUGAAAGUGUAUUUAAAAUUUUUGAACUUUGUCUAAAGUGACUAGAACAUAAAAAAACAGUAUUUAGUUUUGCUGUCUUAUUAGUAAAUGAUUGAGACUUAUUUCAUGUUUCUUUUGUCUGGUUUAUUAUAACCCCUUAAUUCUCUCUGCUGGGUGUACAUAUAUGCAAGGAGAGACAGAAGACUCAUGACAAUAAAAAUCUAUAAAAAUUUCUGAGUCUGCA